rnacentral:lncRNA from 1 species
AAUACCUCUAGGUGUUCCGGACACUAUGUGCCUAUAGCUGGCUACAGGAUCACAGCAGCCAAAAGCCCUCCAGGAAGAAGUAUGGAAGCAGCUUUAUUGAGGUUGCCAGCAAGGAUUACGGCUUCUUUGACGCAUGAACGUUUUGGAAUUUAUGAGGAUUUUAAUGAGGAUUUUCUGAAAAAAAUAAAAAUGGUCGAACUUGAAGCUGCAGCAGAAGAAGAUAUGGAAAAACUAAA